rfam:Ipomoea nil DNA, scaffold: scaffold2283, cultivar: Tokyo-kokei standard.
GUGGGCGUGGCGGAGUGGUUAUCGGGCAUGAGUAGAAAUCAUGUGGGCUUUACUCGUACAGGUUCGAAUCCUACCGCUCACG